CCCGACUGCUAUUUGGGUGAGAAUAAGCCAUGCGAGUUGAAUGGGAUACCUAAAGUUCCCAUAGCAAACUGCUCAGUAACACAUGAUCAACUUACCCUAUAGAGAAAAUAACCUCGGGAAACUGAGGAUAAUGUUUCAUAAUUGAAUUGGCUUGGAAAAGUUUUUCAAUGAAAGGGAUAAAAAAAAUGGUUUUUAUCUGCUAUAGGAUAGGAUCGUGUUCGAUUAUGGUUGUUGGUGAGAUAAUGGCUCACCAAGCCGAUAAUCGAUAGGGGCCGUGAGAGCGGGAGUCCCGAGAUGGGUACUGAGACAACGACCCAGGCCUUACGAGGCGCAGCAGGCGCGGAACCUCCGCAAUACACGAAAGUGUGACGGGGUUACCCAAAGUGUUCAAUAGAACUGUGGUAGGUGAGUAAUGUCCCCUACUAGAAAGGAGAGGGCAAGGCUGGUGCCAGUCGCCGCGGUAAAACCAGCUCUUCAAGUGGUCGGGAUAAUAUUGGGCUUAAAGUGUCCGUAGCCGGUUUAGUAAGUUCCUGGUAAAAUCGGGUAGCUUAACUAUCUGCAUGCUAGGAAUACUGCUAUACUAGAGGGCGGGAGAGGUCUGAGGUACUACAGGGGUAGGGGUGAAAUCUUAUAAUCCUUGUAGGACCACCAGUGGCGAAGGCGUCAGACUGGAACGCGCCUGACGGUGAGGGACGAAAGCCAGGGGAGCGAACCGGAUUAGAUACCCGGGUAGUCCUGGCCGUAAACGAUGCAUACUAGGUGAUGGUACGGCCAUGAGCCGUAUCAGUGCCGUAGGGAAACCGUUAAGUGUGCCGCCUGGGAAGUACGGUCGCAAGGCUAAAACUUAAAGGAAUUGGCGGGGGAGCACCACAAGGGGUGAAGCCUGCGGUUCA
rnacentral:rRNA from 1 species